UUAGGGUUUAUAUUUGAGUUUAGGGUACAAUGAUUAUGGUUUAAGGUUAAGUAUUUAAGGGUUUAUGGUAGGGUUGUUAUAUGGUUUAUUAUUGAGGGGUUGGGAUGGGAUUGGUGUUAUAUACUAUUUUGGUUGGAGGUGGGUUAAGGUUGAACACAAAUGCAUUGGUUCUGAAGAAUAGUCUCCACUCUAUUUUAGAUAGUAUAGAACAAUAGUUCAAAUUUUAUAUAUCUUUAUUUUAUUUUAUUUUUUAAAAUUAUUAUAAUUAGAAAUUAGAUUUAAUAUUUGAGUUUUAGUUUAGAGAUUCGAGUUUAGGGCGUAGUAUUUAGGUGUGGAAUUGAGUUUAAGGUUUC
rnacentral:lncRNA from 1 species